rnacentral:tRNA from 1 species
UACAAAUCAGAGCUUGGUUAGAAAGCAUUUCAUUUACACUGAAAAUUUUACUGUGCGACUCAGUAUGAUUUGAA